GACGAACGCUGGCGGCGUGCUUAACACAUGCAAGUCGAACGAAGUGGCGAACGGGUGAGUAACGCGUAAUCAACCUGCCCUUCAGAGGGGGACAACAGUAGGAAACGACUGCUAAUACCGCAUACUGAAGGAGGGGAUUGCGUCUGAUUAGCGAGUUGGGUGGGUAACGGCCCACCAAGGCGAUGUUCAGUAGCCGGUCUGAGAGGGUGAACGGCCACAAUUGGACUGGGACACGGCCCAGACUCCUACGGGAGGCAGCAGUGGGGAAUCUUCCGCAAUGGAGGAAAGUCUGACGGAGCAACGCCGCGUGAGUGAGGACGGCCUUCGGGUUGUAAAGCUCUGUUAAUCGGGACGCGGUACCGAAAUAGAAAGCCACGGCUAACUACGUGCCAGCAGCCGCGGUAAUAC
rnacentral:rRNA from 1 species